GGGGCGUUAGCUCAGUUGGUUAGAGCAGAGGACUCAUAAUCCUUUGGUCGUCGGUUCAAGUCCGCCACGCCCUACCA
rnacentral:tRNA from 34 species